rnacentral:rRNA from 1 species
GAUGAACGCUGGCGGCGUGCCUAAUACAUGCAAGUCGAGCGAACAGACGAGGAGCUUGCUCCUCUGACGUUAGCGGCGGACGGGUGAGUAACACGUGGAUAACCUACCUAUAAGACUGGGAUAACUUCGGGAAACCGGAGCUAAUACCGGAUAAUAUAUUGAACGGCAUGGUUCAAUAGUGCACGACGGUUUUGCUGUCACUUAUAGAUGGAUCCGCGCCGCAUUAGCUAGUUGGUAGGGUAACGGCUUACCAAGGCAACGAUGCGGACCCGACCUGAGAGGGUGUGCGGCCACACUGGAACUGAGACACGCACCAGACUCCAACGGGAGGCAGCAGUGGGGAAUCUUGCAAAAUGGGCGAAAGCCUGACGGAGCACCGCCGCGUGAGUGAAGAAGUUCUUCGGAUUGAAAAGCUCUUUUAUUGGGGAAGAAAAAUAGUAAAAUAAAAACUGCCUGUUUUGACGUUACCAAAAGAAAAAGCAACGGCUAACUUCGUG